rnacentral:rRNA from 1 species
UACGGAGGGGGCUAGCGUUGUUCGGAAUUACUGGGCGUAAAGUGUGCGCAGGCGGUUUCGCAAGUCAAGUGUGAAAGCCCCGGGCUUAACCUGGGAACUGCGCUUGAAACUACGGAACUCGAGUAUGGCAGAGGAAGGUGGAAUUCCACGUGUAGCGGUGAAAUGCGUAGAGAUGUGGAGGAACACCGAUGGCGAAGGCAGCCUUCUGGGCCAAUACUGACGCUCAUGCACGAAAGCGUGGGGAGCAAACAGG